rnacentral:pre_miRNA from 1 species
UCUUAUGAAUGAGCAAAGAAAGUAGUUUCUUGAGAUAGAUUUUACUUCCGGUGAAGAUGUUGUGAA